UCCGUGUGUACUCUCCGCCCUCCCCCUCCGAGGCGGGCGGGAACCGCGGGUCCUCAGCCCGCAGCUUCCGCCUGUCGCCGCGCGGUCCUACGAGUCGAUGCGGCGUUUCCUCUGUCAGGCCCUAGGGGAGCUCGCUUGUUCUGUGGAGGGCUGUAUGGCAGAAGAGCCGGCGGAGGGCCACGUGGCAGAGGAACCCUGGUCAUUACUGAAGAACUUCCUUUUCCUAUUUCCUUAGCUCUCGGAAUUAGGGCACUGAGUGCAAGCCGACCGGGGACUGAAUGGGACAUGGGGAAAGUGUAUCCCUGUGUGUGUGUGUGAUUGGAGGAAAGGCUUUUAUGACUAGCUAACAGCGUUCAGAUCAGAGCUCCCUGUUCUCGUUUGAGAAAGAAAUGAAAUAUUGAAAGUGGCUCUCCUCAGGAGCACAAAUGGCUAAGAUUAAAGCCAGCAGUCAGAUCCAUUAUAGUAGAAAUGUUUGGCAUACCAUGCGCUACAGCAUACUGACUUUUGGAGGGAAUAGAGAAACAAAAUUGCAUUAUCUCAAGCAACUGGGACUUUUGCUUCUUUCCAGGGUGGUUAUUGAGAGGAUGCCAGGGUUGCAGCUAGAGAAAGUCAGAAUGGAGGCAGCAGGCCCUGGGAGACCCACCAGAGGAUGUGCUGCCCCUAGACAAUCAAGAGCCACAUAAAAAAACGAGUUCCAGACAUUUCCUGCCAUAAACUAAAGGAUAUGAUAGAUUAUAUACUAUGGGUAUCAAAGGGAGCAAGUUUACUCCAGAUAAGAAAUGGGAUGUCUUAUUGUCAGAGAAAUGGGUCUGCUGAUGAUAUUGACUGCUAAAAGAUAAGGCAAUUCCCUUGAAGCUGCAACUCUCCAAUCAGUUCAAACCAAGCAUCUCUAACCUAAGCAAGAUCAGAGCAUCAUGCAUAGAGAAAAAUGGUAGCUAAGAAGAGAGGGAGCUUUGCAUGGAGAAAUAUAAAUAACAAACUAAAGAAGAGUGGAAAUAUGGGAGUCGUCUCUACAGAGGGUCUUGUCCUUACUCACAUGGUCUGAGUUCCAGUCUGUGGGAAGGGAGAAAGUAGGACUGAAGGACAAAAAAUUUUCUUUCAAGUAAUUGAUGUGGAAGCUGUGCCUCUCAUGAUUCAAUGGAACCCUGGAAAAGGUGGGAGCUGGCCUCCCACAAUGGAUAAAUGACUCAGUGUCUAAGAGCACUUGCUGUUCUUGCAGGUAACUGUAGUUCAGUUCCUAGCACCCACAUCCACUGGCUCACAACUCUGUAACUCCAUUUCCAGGGGAUCUGACACACUCUUAUUGCCUCUGUGGAUACUGCACACACAAACAAGUAGACAUUUAAACACAAAGAUAGCAAUAAAAUUUUUUAAAACUAUUGAGGAACUUAAGCUCUGUAAUUAGCAAAGGAAGGUGUGGAAUAUCCCUUUACACUGUGUGAAUAUAUGUCACUGUGAUUGGUUUAACAAAGAAGCUGACUGGACUAUAGCUAAGCAGGAUAAGGUUAGGUGGGAAAAUCAGACUAAGAGAAUGCUGGGAGGAAGAAGGAGGAGUCUCAGAAUCGCCAGGCAGACUUAGAAGAAGCAACAUGAAAAGUACAUAGAUAAGGUAAAUGAGCCUCAGGGCAGCACAUAGACUAAUAGAAAUAGGUUAAUUUAAGUUAUAAAAUCUAGUUAAACACAAGUCUUAGCUAUCAACCGAGCAUUUAUAAUUAAUAUUUGUCUGUGUGGUUUUUUGGGAACUGAUGGGACAGAAAAGUCUGCCUAUAGGAAGGUAGAAAAUAUAAUCAGCCAGGGUGUACCUAUACCCAGCUAAGCUCAUUCUUUUUUUAAGACAAAGUCUCACUAUGCAGUCUUGACUGACAUAGAACACACUAUGUAUACCAGGCUGGCCUCAAACUCAUAGAGAUUUACUUGUCUCUGCCUUCCAAGUACUGGGAUUAGAAAUGUGCACCACCACAUCUGGUGUAAGCUCAAUUCUUACUGAAGAAAGGAAGACUGGAUUUGGGGUCUGGGUGUCUGAUAUACUAAUAUGUAAGGCAUAUAGGGUCGGUAGAAGCACAGGUGAGCUCAGUGUUUUGAAAGGGAUUAUGACAAUACUUAACAAGAAUCACAAUAAUGUACAAGUUCUUUGACUUAAAGAAAACUUAUUCUAAGAAAAUAUAUGCAUGAAGAUCUGGCUAUAAGGGUGUUCAUUGUAAAUAGCAGAAAAACUGAAAUCCAUCUAAAGGAAGUAUCUCAUUGAUUACUAUAGAUAAGAGUUGUUGUGGGAUAUCUGUACACUGUAUGAAAAUGUAUUGCUGUGAUUGGUGUAAUAAAAAGCUGAAUGGACAAUAGCCAGGCAGGAGGUAUAGGCAGGACUUCCAGGCAGAGAGAGAGGAAGUAGGAAAUGAAUCUAGGUGCACAUCAGAUGCCAAGAAGACAUGGAGGGAGUCAGACAUACAGAAUGAAUGGUAAGAAGCCACGAGGCAAAACAGAUUAAUAUUAAUGGGUUAAUUUAAGUUAUAAGAGCUAGUGGAACAAGCCUAAGCUAAGGUCAGGAUCUCAUAAUUAGUAAGAAGUCUCUGUGUCAUUAUUUGGGAGCUGGCAGCCCACAGAAAAUUCCAUUUCAAAGAGCCUUAUAUUUGUCCUUAGAUACUGAAUGGCAAUAUCACUGCUAAUUAAUCAAGCACUGUAAUCCCUAAGUAUUUGUAGUUGCAUAUCCAUGUUUUAUCUAUAACCAUAAGAUAAUGUGUGUGUGUGUGUGUGUGUGUUUCCCAGAUCUAGAGUUCUGACAUACAUUAUUUAAUCAGUUCUGCAAAGUAUAUAUCAAUAUAUAAAUGAAUGGAGGCUUAGGGAGCUUAAGAAACUAGUUGAAAAAAAAUCAAAUGGUGAGGGCAGAGAGAUGUCUUAGUGAUUAAGAGCAUUGUUGCUCUUGCAGAGAACACAGGUUCACUUCCCAGCUCUUACACGUUAGCUCACAACCAUCUGAAGCUACAGUUCCAGAGUAUCCAACCUCCCUUCUUCCGACCUCCAUGGGCACCAGACAUGCAUAUGGUGCACAUACAGACAUGCAAGCAAACACUCAUAUACAUAAGGCAGAGGCAGGUGGAUCUUUAUGACUUCAAGGCCAGCCUAGUCUAGAUAGUGCAUUCCAGGACAGCCAAGGCUACAUGGUGAAACCUUGUGUCAAAACAAUAACAACAACAAAAUUUAAAUUAAACAGUGACUAAAUAAUGUGAUUUUAUUUUGAAAUAAAUUCAGUAUUGUCUACCUCAUCUCACAUUUCAUUUAUCUUUUCUCUUUUGUCU